CACGCAGGCGGAAUUUCAAGUGUCUUGUGAAAUCCCUCGGCUUAACCGAGGAAUUGCUCGGCAAACUGGAAUUCUUGAGGCAAGUAGGGGUACAUGGAACUCUUAGUGGAGCGGUGGAAUGCGUAGAUAUUAAGAGGAACGCCAAUGGUGAAGACAGUGUACUGGGCUUGUACUGACGCUGAGGUGCGAAAGCGUGGGGAGCGAACAGGAUUAGAUACCCUGGUAUCC
rnacentral:rRNA from 1 species